rnacentral:rRNA from 1 species
CCUACGGGUGGCAGCAGUGGGGAAUAUUGGGCAAUGGUCGCAAGCCUGACCCAGCAACGCCGCGUGAAGGAAGAAGGCUUUCGGGUUGUAAACUUCUUUUAAGGGGGAAGAGCAGAAGACGGUACCCCUUGAAUAAGCCACGGCUAACUACGUGCCAGCAGCCGCGGUAAUUCGUCGGCGGCAAGUGUUAUCCGGAUUUACUGGGUGUAACGGGGGCGCAGGCGGCGAUGCAAGCCAGGCGUGAAAGCCCGGGGCCAAACCACGGGACGGCUCUUGGAACUGCGUGGCUGGAGUGCAGGAGGGGAAGGCGGAAUUCCUGGUGUAGCGGUGAAAUGGGUAGAUAUCAGGAGGAACACCGGUGGCGAAGGCGGCCUGCGGGACUGCAACUGACGUUGAGGCCCGAAAGCGUGGGGAGCAAACAGGAUUAGAUACCCUGUAGUC